UACAGAGGUCUCAAGCGUUGUUCGGAAUCACUGGGCGUAAAGGGUGCGUAGGUGGCGUGGUAAGUCAGAUGUGAAAGCCCGGGCUCAACCUCGGAAUUGCAUCCGAUACUGCCGUGCUAGAGUACUGAAGAGGUGACUAGAAUUCUCGGUGUAGCAGUGAAAUGCGUAGAUAUCGAGAGGAGUACCAACGGCGAAGGCAGGUCACUGGGCAGUUACUGACACUGAGGCACGAAGGCCAGGGGAGCAAACGGG
rnacentral:rRNA from 1 species